rnacentral:tRNA from 1 species
GUCCGAGUAGCUCAACUAAAGCAUAACAUUGAAGUUGUUAAGAUGGGACCUAGCCCCCCCCCUUGGGCG